rnacentral:rRNA from 2 species
UCGAGCGGACAGAUGGGAGCUUGCUCCCUGAUGUUAGCGGCGGACGGGUGAGUAACACGUGGGUAACCUGCCUGUAAGACUGGGAUAACUCCGGGAAACCGGGGCUAAUACCGGAUGGUUGUUUGAACCGCAUGGUUCAAACAUAAAAGGUGGCUUCGGCUACCACUUACAGAUGGACCCGCGGCGCAUUAGCUAGUUGGUGAGGUAACGGCUCACCAAGGCAACGAUGCGUAGCCGACCUGAGAGGGUGAUCGGCCACACUGGGACUGAGACACGGCCCAAACUCCUACGGGAGGCAGCAGUAGGGAAUCUUCCGCAAUGGACGAAAGUCUGACGGAGCAACGCCGCGUGAGUGAUGAAGGUUUUCGGAUCGUAAAGCUCUGUUGUUAGGGAAGAACAAGUACCGUUCGAAUAGGGCGGUACCUUGACGGUACCUAACCAGAAAGCCACGGCUAACUACGUGCCAGCAGCCGCGGUAAUACGUAGGUGGCAAGCGUUGUCCGGAAUUAUUGGGCGUAAAGGGCUCGCAGGCGGUUUCUUAAGUCUGAUGUGAAAGCCCCCGGCUCAACCGGGGAGGGUCAUUGGAAACUGGGGAACUUGAGUGCAGAAGAGGAGAGUGGAAUUCCACGUGUAGCGGUGAAAUGCGUAGAGAUGUGGAGGAACACCAGUGGCGAAGGCGACUCUCUGGUCUGUAACUGACGCUGAGGAGCGAAAGCGUGGGGAGCGAACAGGAUUAGAUACCCUGGUAGUCCACGCCGUAAACGAUGAGUGCUAA